rnacentral:rRNA from 2 species
AGGGCGCCUGAGUCGGCAGUGGCAGACGCGAAACCAAGUGAUCUACCCUUGACCAGGUUGAAGGCUGGGUAACACCAGCUGGAGGACCGAACCAAUAAGCGUUGAAAAGCUUCUGGAUGAGUUGAGGGUAGGGGUGAAAGGCUAAUCAAACUUGGAGAUAGCUCGUACUCCCCGAAAUGCAUUUAGGUGCAGCCUUGCGGGUUACUGAUGUGAGGUAGAGCGACUGAUAAGAUGCGAGGGCUUCACCGCCUAUCAAGUCUUGACAAACUCCGAAUGCGCAUCAGUCCUACCGCAGGAGUGAGGGCAUGGGUGCUAAGGUCCGUGCCCGAGAGGAGAAGAAUCCGGACCACCUGCUAAGGUCCCGAAAUGACAGCUAAGUUAAACUAACGAAGUCGGACUGCCAUGACAGCUAGGAUGUUGGCUUGGAAGCAGCCAUUCAUUUAAAGAGUGCGUAACAGCUCACUAGUCGAGGAGUCCGGCGUGGAUAAUAAUCGGGUAUGAAGUUGUCUACCGAAGCAGUGGGAUCAUGUAAAUGAUCGGUAGGGGAGCAUUCCACCCGGCGUCGAAGGCGUACCGCGAGGUAUUCUGGAGCGUGUGGAAAAGCAAAUGUAGGUAUAAGUAACGAUAAAGCAGGUGAGAAACCUGCUCGCCGCAAGACCAAGGUUUCCUGAUCAACGCUAAUCGGAUCAGGGUCAGUCGGGUCCUAAGGCUCAGCCGAACGGCGAGGCCGAUGGCAGAAACGGUUAAUAUUCCGUUACUACCUUUACGGGCGAUGUGGAGACGCAGAAGUGACAGUGCCGCCAUCUGACGGAAUAGAUGGUUGAAGGGUGUAGAAGCUGAUCGUGGCAGGCAAAUCCACCACGUGAUUCGAACCUGACAGUAUGCCGCGUCCUCCGGGACAAGGCAAUAGUGCACGUAAUCAUACUGCCGAGAAAAUCCGCUAAGCUAUACCGUAAAGGUACCCGUACCGUAAACGGACACACGUGGUCGGGAUGAAUAUUCUAAGGCGCUUGAGUGAUUCACGGUUAAGGAACUAGGCAAACUGACCCUGUAACUUCGGGAUAAAGGGUCCCUCCUCGCAAGAGAGGGCGCAGAGAAUAGGUCCAGGCAACUGUUUAACAAAAACACAGGGCUGUGCAAAAUCGAAAGAUCCGGUAUACAGCCUGACACCUGCCCGGUGCUGGAAGGUUAAGAGGAGACGUCAUCGCAAGAGAAGCGUUGAAUUGAAGCCCCAGUAAACGGCGGCCGUAACUAUAACGGUCCUAAGGUAGCGAAAUUCCUUGUCGGGUAAGUUCCGACCUGCACGAAUGGUGUAAUGAUCUGGACGCUGUCUCAACCGUGAGCUCAGUGAAAUUGUAGUAUCGGUGAAGAUGCCGAUUACCCGCGAUGGGACGAAAAGACCCCGUGAACCUUUACUAUAGCUUAUCAUUGAAUUUGGGCACGUGAUGUGUAGGAUAGGUCGGAGGCUUUGAAGCAGGUACGCCAGUAUUUGUGGAGCCGCUGUUGAAAUACGACCCUUCAUUUGUUUGAGUUCUAACUCGUGAUGCGAGGACACUGAUUGGUGGGUAGUUUGACUGGGGUGGUCGCCUCCAAAAGUGUAACGGAGGCUUCUAAAGGUGCCCUCACGGCGAUUGGUAACCGCCGGCAGAGUGUAAUGGCAUAAGGGCGCUUGACUGGGAGACUCACAAGUCGAGCAGGUAGGAAACUAGAGCAUAGUGAUCCGGUGUUUCCGUAUGGAAGGGACAUCGCUCAAAGGAUAAAAGGUACUCCGGGGAUAACAGGCUGAUCCCUCCCAAGAGCUCAUAUCGACGGAGUGGUUUGGCACCUCGAUGUCGGCUCGUCACAUCCUGGGGCUGGAGAAGGUCCCAAGGGUUGGGCUGUUCGCCCAUUAAAGUGGCACGCGAGCUGGGUUCAGAACGUCGUGAGACAGUUCGGUCUCUAUCUAUCGUGGGCGUAUGAAAUUUGCGUGGCUCUGACACUAGUACGAGAGGACCGUGUUGGACUGACCUCUGGUUUACCGGUUGUGCCGCCAGGUGCAUCGCCGGGUAUCCAAGUCGGGAUCGGAUAAGUGCUGAAAGCAUCUAAGUACGAAGCCGGCCACAAGAUUAGAUUUCUCAGGGUCGUUGCAGACGACGACGUUGAUAGGAUGCAGGUGUAAAGAUGGAGACAUCAAAGCCGAGCAUUACUAAUUGCCCGUUCACUUUCUUUA